rnacentral:lncRNA from 7 species
GUACUUUCUAGAAGCUUUCAGCACGAGGCUGCUGAGGUAACGCGGGGGCGGGAAGCGUGCUCUCUCUGCGGGGGACAAGCGCGGUCCAGGCUUAGGAUUUUCCUUGUGAAAUGGCGUCUGCGUACCUCUGAAAGGCUGUAAGGGGGUUGAGAGUUGUAUUCCAUCGAAACCAGUGGAAAUAAAAUGUCUGUGAUACGUAUGCUGCAGGUAUCCUUAAAAUGCCAUCACUGCAUCUUUGAUGAAGAUGGGAAGCAGGAAGCAAAUCUCUGAACAAGAAACUUUAGACUGAAUGUGCAGUUCCAGUAGAGCAUGGGGGCCCUCCUCCCCAUGAGUGGGAUUAACAGCCACUCACCUCCAUGUACCCCCAUGAAGACGGCUACUCUUAACUUUAAUUAUGAACUCUAAAUGAGAUAUAACUGUGGUAAACACUGAAGUAUUAUCAUAGUGUACAGUGCAUGCAGAAAUAUAAACAGAGGGACUUGUGAAGAGAAACUAGUUUUGCAUACUGUUAAUUGCUCAGACUGCUUUAAGUAGAUAUUUUUUUUCCUCAUUCUCCAUUAUUAUAUCCUUCCUAAGCCCAUUUAAUUUAACACUUGAACGUGAAGAAACAUUACUCAUUCUUUUGUAACCUUCAGUAAGUCUUCUGACAUGUUGCUGUUUUUGAGCUUCAUUGGUUACCUCUGGAUAGAGCUCUAGCUACUAUUAAGUACAGGCUGUGAAAAGGAUUACAUGUUAUAUAUUGUGCUAUUCUAUUAUGCUUUUCACUGAAAGGAACGAAACCAAGUCAUCCACUAAAACUUCAAAAUCUGCUAUGUGAGCAGUUAGCUGGGUGAGAAAGCUGUGUUUCUGGAUACCGAAUUAUUUAGCCUUCCAUAAAUGUGUUUUGUGAUAUGACGUAAGUCAGGCUUCCAUCCAGUGCAGAGUAUUCCAGAUUUGGUGUAGAGGCUGGUAGGAGUCCAUCCACACCCACUUCUGUUGCCGCCGUUCUAAGCAAGGUUGGGAAACAUACUGCAUCUGAGCCUUACCAACCAGCCCUCAUUCUCCUCCCCACCCCUCUCUCAUUAUAACCACCACGGGGCUCAGGUUCCUCAGUGCGGGUUGCUGAAACUUGGCAUUGACACCCGUAAAUUUAUGCAUCAUUUUAAUUUUCAUCCUUUUCCCUUUCGUUUUAAUUUUCAUCCUCUGGUAUGCAAAUGAUCAGUAACAACUAGACCAUUAUCUUGAAUAGGCUGAGAUGUCAUUGUUAAUGUCCGCAAAUCUGAUAUGCGUAGUUAUAUCCCUUAUCUAAAUUGCAAACGUUGGAGUGCCUAUUUGUGUAUAGAAAUGUGCAUUAAUUAAUAAAGUGAAUUAAAGCUAUGUGUAGAGCCAUUAGUGCCUCUGAUAGCCUGGCAUGUACUGGCACUUGCAGCAAAAGGUUUUGCAAGCAUGACUGUGCCCCAGCUCUUGCCUUUACGAGAAACAAGGUACAAGUAAGCUCUCCCUGCUGUGGGUUAUAAUUACUUUCUCUUUGAUUUUCAUGAGGGAAAAAACACUUCUUUGUCAUCUUAAAACUCUAUACAAAGCUUUUGGAGGCAAAGAGAGUUGUCAACGAGUCUCACUGUGUUAUCAGUGCUCCAGUCUGCAAGGAAAGUUGAAUGGUCUGUGAAAGAGUUCAAAUUCAAGUGCACAGAUUGUCAAAGGAAUGUGUAAAAUCACAUCGGUUUUUUAAGGUGGUAAUUGUAUAAUAAUUUUCUUGCAGUCUAAUGGAGAAUUUCUAUAUAUUCUCUUGGUUGUCCAUUUUUACAUUAUCAAGUGUCUCUAAGAUAGUAGUGCAUGAGUGGCACUUGUGGUUGUAAUGACUGUAAUUUCAUGGCUGAUGUCACUUGUGUUUAUUGUCUCUAUCUUUGGAGGCAUUUUCAUUCAGCGAAGUUAAAUACUGUCUUGUUUGGCUUUGUUUUGUUUUUCCUAACCCACCAUCUCUCUGUCUGAAUCUCUGGAGUUUUUAAAUCAGAACAGUGACAUGUACCAGUAACAACAAUCUUAAGUGUGGCAAGUGGGUUGACAAGAGAAUUAAAACAUAUAAGCAAGUUAAAUAAACUUGUUAUAAAAAUCUCUCUAUAUAGAUAAUUGAAUUAGCUUUACAUUGAAAUGUCAAAUAGGAUCUUUCUGUAAGGAGGAAGCUUAUUAGUCCUAUGUGGAAUCUAUUUAUAGUUUCUUUUUACUGGUAUGAUUUUAUAGUAUAUUGCAGUAUCAUUUGUAUUAAGGAAAAAAGGCAUAAUAAUGUAGUUACUAACCUAAUCUGAUGACUCUGUUUGUGACAUUUAAACAACAGAUACAGAUCAAUGGGUAUAUUGAAAUUUGUACACUGUGCUUUAUUCUAAAUGACUGAAGUUGAAUGUGGUUAGUUCUUUACAAUCUACAUCUAUCCUUGCAUAUUAAUAGCAG